ACCACAACCACCUGGGGACAUGCAUUGUCCUCUACAAUGCCACAAAAGCCCAGGAGGAACUGUUCACAGGGAGCCAAGCCACCACACCCUUAGCCACAUGUAGCUAGUUUCGUGGCAGAGCUGGUGUUGCAGUCAGGUGUGUCCUGAUCCAAAGCAAAAGGAGAAGGAUGGACAUGCAGCCUUGAAAAGAGGCAGCCCACCUGUACUGCUGUCACAGGAGCCAAGAAGGAAAGGAUAUUGUGCCUGCAGGUUGUUACUCUCCAAGACAUUAUCGCAACGAGAAUCCGUGUACUGCGGAGUGAUCUGUCGGAGCCGCUUAGAGGGACCGAUGAGAGGAUUGGAACCGGGCCCAGGUCCAGCCUUGUGAAAACCUUUUUCUGGAAUGCCUAUGAGGGGACUACAGAUGGACAGACAAGCUGAAGAGAGUAAUGAGUUUACUCCAGACCCUGGAGGUUUUAACUUGGAGAUGCCCAGGCACCUGUUUGCCUGCAUGCCUGAGGAAGACUUCCAUUUUUAUGAACUUGAUAGAGCUUCGGUGAAAGGAGGGAAAGGAAUGCUGAACAGAAUGGAGGUGGGAAAACAUAAAUAAAC
rnacentral:lncRNA from 1 species